AUUUAAAUAGUUUAAUAAAAAAUAUUGAUUUGUGGAAUCAAGGAUAUAGGUUUCUAUUUUAAAUA
rnacentral:tRNA from 1 species